UCAACCAGGAUCUGUGUCCAAGGAAACAGAUGGAAUGGUGUGCCCACUGUCCUCUUCUUAAUAUCCACAUACUUUUUAACAUGAGUUACUUUUACUGAAACAACUGCAGUGCAACACUUCAGGACAGGACCUUGGAGACUAAUCUGACCACCUGAGUGCUGUUCAGAAACAAUUCCCACUGAAUCCCCUGACUUUGAGCACAACAGCUGUGGAAAUCUAGCAUGCAAGCAGUUGAUCCAUUCCAUCAAAUUCCUGCAGGUUCUCCCUGGUUUGAAGAAAAGAUGAAAACUUAUCCUUAGUAAGAGAGUGGGGGUAGAAAAGAUACUUCAUUUACAGAAGCUGCAAUAGUGUGCUGGAAAAAAUACAGGAAGAGGAUACCCUGAUUACCUACAUCACGAGAAUCCAGAUGAGUCUACAUGGAUAUUCUGAAACUUUUAUCAUCUCUAAUGAUGAGUCCCUGUGUAAGAGUGGAAGGAUGCUGAGGAUCCUUCCAAUCCUGGGAGCACUUUUUUACACCUGUUUGUUUUUUAAUUAAGAUUUCUUAAGUAACAGGUAAUCUGGCUGUACUGAGUAUUCCUGACUGAUGAAAACUAUCAGAUAUCAUGUUUCCUAACAAUGUUUUUGGAACUGAAACAGCAUGAAGCCCAUUUCUGUCAGACAUACUAAAUGGAAAUUUCAGAAAAAGUCCCACUGCCUUCAGUGGGCAUGGCUCUUACUGCAAUCAAAUCCUCCAAAUCCAGUAGAACAGAGCUGAAUCUCUGAGAAUCCAAAGAAUACUUCUGAAUAUCCAUCAUUCCCUGAAGCAAGCACCAGAGACCAGCAAAGAAACAUUUCUCACUUUGAAAGGACUGGCCAGGGAAGGGAGACCUACAUACCACAAAUUAUCGGAAGACUCGAAUCUGUAGUACUUGUACUAUGGGAAGGAAGAGGGCAAAGAAGAGCAAACUGCUUCCUAGCAUGACAGGAUCAUUAGAGGUGUGCGCUAAGGAGAGGGGAGGGCUUGAUGCUCAGCUAGAUUAAUAAGCUCUGAUUAAAACACUUGGAUGUACAGUCCAAUGAAUCUGAGCGUGUCUGCCCAUUUGUAUGUCCAGCUCUGCCGGAGGUUACAUCAGUUUAGCACAGCUGUCCAGUGGAAACUGUGCUGCACAGCAGCAAUAAACAAACAAAGCCCCCGAGCUUUCCAUUCACUUGGGCCAACUGUGCCAGUUUCAACCCAGACAGAAAUAUGCUGAUUUUGCAUGGGAGGGGUGCAUCAAUUUGAUAUAUUAACAGAUCAUAUCUCACAUUUCACAUGGCUGUAAAAUAAUGUUAAUAAUUUAUUUAGGGUGCUACGUUAUUCGAUUAAGGAAAGAAAUGCAUUUUGAUUCUAUUUCUAUAAUGCUUGUUUGCUGGUACACUGAGUAGCCUUAAACAAAGAACCAAGUUUUUCUCAGAGCAAAAAUAAUGAACUGGGACAUCUUUUUUGAUUAAUAUGAUCUCUUGUUGCCAAAUACUUCACAUUUUAAGUAACGGCUUAAAUUUUGGCCGUGCUUCCUAGGUAAG